rnacentral:tRNA from 1 species
GGCCCGGUAGCUCAACGGAUAGAGCAUCUGCCUUCUAAGCAGACGGUUGCAGGUUCGAAUCCUGCUCGGGUCGCCA